CUUCCGCUGUGCUACUCUGAUCUAAACUAACUCUGUUAUACUCGUCUCUUGUCUAAUCCUACAAAUCAUAAAUCUAAGCUUAAGUUCUAUCUAUGAUGAAACAUAUUGUCAGACUUUAAGUUCUAUCCAUGAUCAAUCCUAUUGCUCUGAUACUAUAAAAUAUCAUACUCCAAAUUCAAAAUAUAACACGACCAUGCUACCAAGAGAUGGGGCCC
rnacentral:lncRNA from 1 species